rnacentral:rRNA from 1 species
AAAGAAUUAAAUAGUUAAAAAAGUUAAUGUAGCAAAAUUAUUUUAAAUAACUAUUUUGAAAUGAAAUGUUAUUCGUUUUUAAAGAUAUCUAGUUUUUUUAAAAAAAAAUUUAAUUUUAAAUUUAGUUUAAUAUGAAAUUAAUUAGUUAAUUUUAUUUUUAAUUAAAUUUUAUAAUUUAAGGGAUAAGCUUUAAAUUAAAUUUUUAUAAUAAAUAAUAUUUUAUUGAAAAUUUUAUAAUUUAUAUUGUUAAUAAAUUUUAAUUUAUUAUAAAUAAUUUCGUUAAAUGAAAAAUUUAAUAUUUGAUUUAAUUUUUUAUAAAAAAAAAUUUUUUUACAAAAAAAAAAUUAAAAUAAUAAUAAAAUUAGUAUAUUUAAAGAUAUAUUUUAAUUUAAAAUUAAAAUUAAAAUAAUUUAAUUAAUUAAAAAGAAUUCGGCAAAUAUUUAUAUUCACUUGUUUAACAAAAACAUGUCUUUUAGAAUUUAAUUUACAAGUCUAAUCUGCCCACUGAUAAUAAUUAAAGGGCUGCAGUAUUUUGACUGUACAAAGGUAGCAUAAUCAUUAGUCUCUUAAUUGGUGACUUGUAUGAAAGAUUGAAUGAAAUAUAUACUGUUUCUUAAUUAAUAUGUAGAAUUUAAUUUUUUUAUUAAAAAGUAAAAAUAGAUUAAAAAGACGAGAAGACCCUAUAGAGUUUUAUAAUUAAUUUUAUUAAAAAAUUAUUUAUAUAGUUAAAAUUUUUAUAAAAUUAAUUAUUUUAUUGGGGUGAUAAAAAAAUAAAUUUAACUUUUUAAAAUAAUUUACGAAAAUAAAUGAAUAACUGAUCCAAUUAUAUUGAUUACAAGAUUAAAUUACCUUAGGGAUAACAGCGUAAUUUUUUUUUUUAGUUCAAAUAAGAAAAAAAGUUUGCGACCUCGAUGUUGGAUUAAGAUAAAAUUUAAAUGCAAAAGUUUAAAAUUUUUG